GUCAGGGCUCCACUGUUUGGAUCAAUCAGAACUGAACAAGUUUAAAUCUGCCAUUUGCAUGAAUAAGCCAGAUCAAGAACCACGGCAAGAACUUUCCCUAUUUAAGCCAGACCCUCCCUUUGUUCCUUGGAGUGGUCACAAAUAGAGCCUUCCAAAUGUGAGGGAGGACAAUGGUAACAUGAAUUGACUGAGUACAUAUCAAGUCUUACACUGUAUACUUCACAUGCACUAACUCUCCUACUCUUCACAACAAGCAUGCAAGGUGGGAAAAUAGAGGCUGAGAGAAAUUGAGUAACUUGCCUCAAGCCAUAUAUUCGGCACCGAGAUGUGAUCUGAGCCAGAGCCAACAACUGAGGUCCAAACAGCGUGCCUUGCGCAAGGCCACACAAGAGAUAAUGGCAUUGGCUGUACCAGUGGCCCAGAUCCUUCACCUGCAGAAGAGCUUCCCAGAGAGGAGCAAGCCUUCCUGCCGUCACCUCUGGUGUCAUCCUAUAGGACAUUAAAACCAACUCAAGAUUGUGUUGAAAACUGUUUUCCUUUUGAGGAUGCUAAUAAGAACAAGAUCAUAUCAACGGGUAUGGAUCAUGGCAGGAUUUUCCUUCAGCUGAGUCUUUUAAUGAGCCGUUUCAUAAUGAGGGCUGAAUCUACACACAGUAUCUACAUGCUAGCCAAGGUUUAAAGACUUUUAUAAUAUUUUCCUCCAUUCUCACCCCCUUCGAAGCCCUGGCUUUAAUUCUUUUAAACAGUAACAUUCAUUGGCUGUUAAGUAAAACAGGAGAGAACACAAUAAAUUUAUGAUAUUU
ensembl:lncRNA novel transcript